rnacentral:rRNA from 1 species
GACGAACGCUGGCGGCGCGCCUAACACAUGCAAGUCGAACGGAGUUGUGUUGAAAGCUUGCUGGAUAUACAACUUAGUGGCGGACGGGUGAGUAACACGUGAGUAACCUGCCUCUCAGAGUGGAAUAACGUUUGGAAACGAACGCUAAUACCGCAUAACGUGAGAAGAGGGCAUCCUCUUUUACCAAAGAUUUAUCGCUGAGAGAUGGGCUCGCGGCCGAUUAGGUAGUUGGUGAGAUAACAGCCCACCAAGCCGACGAUCGGUAGCCGGACUGAGAGGUUGAUCGGCCACAUUGGGACUGAGACACGGCCCAG